rnacentral:rRNA from 1 species
UCGACUGUUUUUACAAAAACAUUUCUUAUAGAUUAUAUUUUAAGUAAGUCCUGCCCACUGAAAUAUUUAAGGGCCGCGGUAUAUUGACCGUGCAAAGGUAGCAUAAUAAUUAGUCUCUUAAUUAGGGAAUAGAAUGAAUGGAUAAACAUAUUUUUACUUUUUUAGCUUUAAAUAAAUAAUUUUAAUUUUUAGUGAAAAUUCUUAAAUGUUAUUAAAAGACGAUAAGACCCUAUAGAGUUUUAUAUUUUUAUUAAUUUUUAAAUUAAUUAAUAUAUUUAGUUGGGGCAACUUUAGAAUAAGAUAAAUUUCUUAAGUAAUAUUUUUGUUAAAAUUUUUUUAAAACUUAAGUUUUAAAAUUUAGAAAAAAUUACCUUAGGGAUAACAGUGUAAUAUUUUUUGAGAGUUCUUAUUGACAAAUUUGAUUACCACCUCGAUGUUGAAUUAAGGAUCCUUUAUUUAGCAGUAUACAUAAAAGGUAGUCUGUUCGACUAUUAAAUUCUUACAUGAUUUGAGUU